rnacentral:rRNA from 1 species
UACGUAGGGUGCAAGCGUUAUCCGGAAUUAUUGGGCGUAAAGAGCUCGUAGGCGGUUUGUCGCGUCUGCUGUGAAAGCUGGAGGCUCAACCUCCAGCCUGCAGUGGGUACGGGCAGACUAGAGUGCGGUAGGGGAGAUUGGAAUUCCUGGUGUAGCGGUGGAAUGCGCAGAUAUCGGGAAGAACACCCGUGGCGAAGGCGGCUCUCUGGGACGGUACUGACGCUGAGACGCGAAAGCGUGGGGAGCGAACAGG